CCUACAACUAGUAUCUCUCUAGCUCUCCGCACCCCCGAUCCCCGUGCCUCGCUGCUCCCUCCUCCCCCAGACGCGCCCCCAAUCCCGCCGGCGAACCUCGCACCAGACGCGCCGCCAAUCCCAGCGCCACACCACCCUCCUCAUCUAGCUGCCACUGGAGGUGUUGAAGACCGGGAGGUGAUUUGGCUUGGGGGCGAUUCGGGAGGAAGAAGGGCGGUGGGGACUUCCUAGUGGCAGAUCUGGGCCAAAUAGAUCGGCAAGUGUUGGUGCGGCUGUGACAGAUUUAGGCCUCCAGGAUUGACGAGUAAACAUCCCUUGGUAAAUGGCUUCUCUCACUCUUGGUGGCGGAGACUACUCUCAUCAGCUACUAUCCCUGCUCGUGCGUGAGGAUGCAGAUGUAUAUAGUAAUCAGGUCUGCAACUUCCACAUCGCGAUUUAAACCAAGGGAAAGAAAAUCUGUACACCCAAUAUUCUUACAGAUGAAUGAAUGCUAAAGGAUCACGGAAGGCAGGAAGGUGGCAGGGUUCUCGGACAUCCAUGGGGACAUCACUAAUGGCCACUGGCAGACCAUGAGGUGGUAGAUACCAGCGGCCGGCAUCCGGGAGCAUCUCAUCCGGACUCACGCCCAAUCCGCAAGCAUCAGAAAUGUCGUUCCUCACUCGGUGAGUUGGUCUCACUGCAUGGUGGUGGCAUCAAUCCUGCUGCGAUGCUCAUCUUUUACCAACAAGCUAGUAGCAAUGAGCAAAUGUGCAACGAUGUGUACAGUAGAGAGGAGAAAGUGUGGCAGCCUCUCUUUUCAGUUAUGCAGUAAAGGGUGGAUCGGAGUGUCGAUUCCAUGGUUGCCAAAUGCUAUAUGAGCUAGCCUAUGGAACACCAGGUGCUCAUGGAGCUGGCUCCUUGGAAGCUCAGCCUCAGGCAAGUUAGAAUGAUGUGGAAGCUUGACUAGUUUUUUUUUUCCGGCAAGACAUGAUAGAAUUUGCAAUCAAAGGCUGCAAAUAAUUGAUUUUGCAUAUAGAUGUAUUUCUGACAAGGGUGCAACUCUAUGCUAGAUUGCUCAUAAUCGAAGUUUUUGUCGGCCACUAGAUAUACAAGAGCUUUGGGAUGCGCUCGGAGGUGGCCUAUGGAGCUGGCGUUAGAAUUUUAUUUUAGUUUCAGAGUGUAAACAUUUGAAGUUUUGGUGUGAAAUUUCUCAAUAAUGGGAGCAUUUGGUAGUUUGGAGCGAAAUUCAUAGUAUUUAGGUUCAUGGUUAAAAAUAUUUGCAAACCUAAUUAUUGAAUGCUUUAUGUAGUGAAAUUUGCAAA